rnacentral:ncRNA from 1 species
CCUACUGAACUUAAGUAUAUUAAUAAGUAGAGAAAAAGAAACUAAUAGGGAUUACCUUAGUAACGGUGAGUAAAGCGGUAACAGCUUAAAUUUGAAAUCUGGCCCUAGACCUGAGUUAUAAUUUAUAGAGGAUGCUUUUAGCGCGGUGCCUUCUGAGUUCCCUAGAACGGGACGCUAUAGAGGGUAAGAGCCCCGUACGGUUAGAUACUAAGCCUUUAUAAAGCUCCUUUAAUAAGUCAAGUAGUUUAGGAAUACUACUUAAAAUAGGAGGUAUAUUUCUUUUAAAGCUAAAUAUUAGCUAGAGACCGAUAGCGUAUAAGUAGAGUAAUUGAAAGAUAAAAAGUACUUUAAAAAGAGGGUUAAAUAGUAUGUGAAAUUAUUAAAAGGGAAGCGCUUAUAACCAGACUUACGCCCGGUAAAUCACCUAGCUCUUAUAGCUGGGGCACUUUGCCGGUACAGGCCAGCAUUAGCUUACCGUUAGGGUCAAACGCUUUAGGAACGUAGCUCUGUUUAGGGAGUGUUAUAGCCCGUUGUAUAAUACCCUUCAGCGGGCUAAGGUACGCACUCCGUAAGAAUACUAGUGUAAUGGUUAUUAGCGACCCGUCUUAAAAUAUAG